rnacentral:rRNA from 1 species
AAUUUUGGACAAUGGGGGAAACCCUGAUCCAGCCAUCCCGCGCGUAUGAUGAAGGCCUUCGGGUUGUAAAGUACUUUUGGCAGAGAAGAAAAGGUAUCUCCUAAUACGAGAUACUGUUGACGUUAUCUGCAGAAUAAGCACCGGCUAACUACGUGCCAGCACCCGGGGUAAUACGUAGGAGACACGCGUUACACGCAAUUAGUGGGCGUAAAUCGUGUGUAGGACGAUCGGAAAGAAAAAUGUUAAGUCCCAGGGCUCGACCUUGGAAAUGCAUUUAUAACUGCCGAGCUAGAAAAUGUCAGAGAGGGGUAGAAUUCCACGUGCAGCAAUGAAAUGCCUAGAUAUGUGGAGGAAUACCGAUGGCGAAGACAGCCCCCUGGGAUAAUACUGACGCUCAGACACGAAAGCGUGGAGAGCAAACA